UACGGGGGGGGCAAGCGUUGUUCGGAAUUACUGGGCGUAAAGGGCUCGUAGGCGGCCAACUAAGUCUGACGUGAAAUCCCUCGGCUUAACCGGGGAACUGCGUCCGAUACUGGAUGGCUUGAGUGUGGGAGAGGGAUGCGGAAUUCCAGGUGUAGCGGUGAAAUGCGUAGAUAUCUGGAGGAACACCUGUGGCGAAAGCGGCGCACUGGACCACAACUGACGCUGAGGCGCGAAAGCUAGGGGAGCAAACAGG
rnacentral:rRNA from 1 species